CAGCAGCCGCGGGAAUACGGAGGGUGCAAGCGUUAAUCGGAUUUACUGGGCGUAAAGCGUGCGUAGGCGGCUUUUUAAGUCGGAUGUGAAAUCCCUGAGCUUAACUUAGGAAUUGCAUUCGAUACUGGGAAGCUAGAGUAUGGGAGAGGAUGGUAGAAUUCCAGGUGUAGCGGUGAAAUGCGUAGAGAUCUGGAGGAAUACCGAUGGCGAAGGCAGCCAUCUGGCCUAAUACUGACGCUGAGGUACGAAAGCAUGGGGAGCAAACAGGAUUAGAGACCCCCGUAGUCCCUGUCUCUUAUAC
rnacentral:rRNA from 1 species